rnacentral:misc_RNA from 1 species
AACGCACAUUGCGCCCCCUGGUAUUCCGGGGGGCAUGCCUGUCCGAGCGUCAUUGCUGCCCUCAAGCCCGGCUUGUGUGUUGGGUCCUCGUCCUCCCCUCGCGGGGGGACGGGCCCGAAAGGCAGCGGCGGCACCGCGUCCGGUCCUCGAGCGUAUGGGGCUUUGUCACCCGCUCUGUAGGCCCGGCCGGCGCCAGCCGACGCAAAUCACCUUUUUUUCCAGGUUGACCUCGGAUCAGGUAGGGAUACCCGCUGAACUUAA